GAUGAACGCUAGCUACAGGCUUAACACAUGCAAGUCGAGGGGUAACGAGAGGGAAGCUUGCUUUCCUUGUCGACGACCGGCGCACGGGUGAGUAACGCGUAUCCAACCUGCCCCCAACUAGGGAAUAACCUUGCGAAAGUAAGACUAAUACCCUAUAAUUUCCUCAGAUGACAUCUGACGAGGAAUAAAGAUUUAUCGGUUGUGGAUGGGGAUGCGUCUGAUUAGCUUGUUGGCGGGGUAGCGGCCCACCAAGGCAACGAUCAGUAGGGGUUCUGAGAGGAAGGUCCCCCACAUUGGAGCUGAGACACGGUCCAAACUCCUACGGGAGGCAGCAGUGAGGAAUAUUGGUCAAUGGGCGGAAGCCUGAACCAGCCAAGUAGCGUGCAGGAUGACGGCCCUAUGGGUUGUAAACUGCUUUUAUACAGGAAUAAAGUUAGCCACGUGUGGUUAUUUGUAGGUACUGUAUGAAUAAGGACCGGCUAAUUCCGUGCCAGCAGCCGCAGUAA
rnacentral:rRNA from 1 species